ACUCAAAGGAAUUGACGGGGGCCCGCACAAGCAGCGGAGCGUGUGGUUUAAUUCGAUGAUACGCGAAGAACCUCACCCAGGUUUGACAUGCAUGUGGUACAGAGGUGAAAGCCGACGGACCUUUCGGGGAGCAUGCACAGGUGUUGCACGGCCGUCGUCAGCUCGUGCCGUGAGGUGUUGGGUUAAGUCCCGCAACGAGCGCAACCCCUGUCGCCAGUUGUAUUUUUCUGGCGAGACUGCCGAGAAAACCUCGGAGGAAGGAGGGGACGAUGUCAGGUCAGCGUGGCCCUUACGCCUGGGGCUACACACACGCUACAAUGGGUGGUACAACGGGCAGCCAAGCCGCGAGGCGGAGCUAAUCCCAUCAAAGCCAUCCUCAGUUCGGAUUGCAGGCUGAAACCCGCCUGCAUGAAGCCGGAGUUGCUAGUAAACGCAGGUCAGCAUUACUGCGUUGAAUACGUUCCCGGGCCUUGUACACACCGCCCGU
rnacentral:rRNA from 1 species